GAGAUAUAUAAAUUAUGGUAGCAAAUAGGUAAAAGUGUAGAAUUGCACUGUCUGUUUGCUUAUGUGCAUCAAUCGGAGUGUAAAACAGUG